rnacentral:sRNA from 1 species
AGCGCCUUUUGCAUACCAGGCACUAUGCUCAGUACUGGAGAUACAGUGGUCCCCAUGAGUACAUAGGAUGAUAGGUGGGGCUGAUACAUAGUCACUUCCAGUUAUAGGAGAAGGGCUUCUCAAACUGUCUUUCUGAGCUGGUUAAUGGUUACUGCCUAAUCCUUCCUUGCCUGCUCCUUAGUAUGACCACAAGCGAAUCUCAAAGUUGUCAGAGCGGCUGAUACAGAAUAUAAUGAAGAGCCUUCCAGAUGUGGUGAUGAAUGGGGACCCUAAGCACCAUUAUCCCGGUAUGGACUUGCUCUUUCUAUCCUCAUUCUGGUAGAGGCUGAGACUCUGAGACCUCUCUCACAGUAUUUCUUUCCUCCAGGCUGUAUCAACCUCUCCUUUGCAUAUGUGGAAGGGGAAAGUCUGCUGAUGGCACUGAAGGACGUUGCCUUAUCCUCAGGGAGGUGAGCUGGAUGGCAUAGACAGGGCCUGCGGCAGGGCCACUUAGAAGAGUCAUACAGGCUAUUAAACUUCCCAGUGUGGAGAUGAUAGGCACAAGACCUCUUGAUUAAGGGUAAAGGUCAUUUUGUAAGUGCCUCUCUUUUUUUGGUUGGCUGGGUAGCUGGGUACAGACUGAAGUUUACCACCCUAGGAAGACUUCCUGGGGUAGAAUUUUGUGCCUUUUAUCGUCCCAGGGGAUGUAUGUGUCUGUUGUGGGGUUACACUAGCAGUUCUGUUACAGGCCUCUAGAAUUGAAGAUGCUCCAAAGGCCACUAAGUGUUUGGCUGCCCUUCAGGCUGGUGCAGAUGGUGUAUUAUGUCCUGGGGAAGUGAGCACAUGGUCCUCUGCUGCGUCUUCUUGUCAAACCCAUGUGGUAUCAUGCUCUGUCACACUUUGCCAGCGUCCUUGCUCAAGGAAGUCAUCCACCAUGGGGGCCAGAGGAGCUAGGUUCACACAUCCUAGGAUGUGCAGGGGAGCAUCAGGUCCUUUAGUUCUGCCAGAUUAGAAGGUCUCUUGUUUUCUCCAGGGUAUGACUCCAGGGCCCUGGGGGAUGGGA